rnacentral:rRNA from 1 species
AUGGGCCUCCUCGACAAGCUGUGGGACGACACCGUCGCGGGGCCCCAACCGGACACCGGUCUCGGCCGCCUCCGCAAACUCGCCGCCCGCCCCGCCGCCGUCAAGAUCAACGAUGUGGCUCCUGGCGCCGCGACGGUGAUCCCACCUACCACGACGGCCGGCGGCGAGGAUGCGCCGAUGAAAGUCACGCGCAGCAUCAUGAUUAAGCGGCCGGCGGGGUACCCCUCGUCGCCGAGGAGCGCGGCCAGCACGCCGCCAGCCUCGCCGCUAGGAACCACGCCGCCCAUCUCCCCGUUCGCCGGCGGCGGUGGUCGGUUCAGAAGGAAAUCAUCCUCGGAUGCGUACGAGAGGGCUACACCACCUGGGGCGUCGACCAGUCACCCUCCUCCACCCUUUGAAGUGUGA